GGUGGGUACGGGCAGACUAGAGUGCAGUAGGGGAGACUGGAAUUCCUGGUGUAGCGGUGGAAUGCGCAGAUAUCAGGAGGAACACCGAUGGCGAAGGCAGGUCUCUGGGCUGUAACUGACGCUGAGGAGCGAAAGCAUGGGGAGCGAACAGGAUUAGAUACCCUGGUAGUCCAUGCCGUAAACGUUGGGCACUAGGUGUGGGGACCAUUCCACGGUUUCCGCGCCGCAGCUAACGCAUUAAGUGCCCCGCCUGGGGAGUACGGCCGCAAGGCUAAAACUCAAAGGAAUUGACGGGGGCCCGCACAAGCGGCGGAGCAUGCGGAUUAAUUCGAUGCAACGCGAAGAACCUUACCAAGGCUUGACAUGUUCNCGAUCGCCGUAGAGAUACGGUUUCCCCUUUAGGGGCGGGUUCACAGGUGGUGCAUGGUUGUCGUCAGCUCGUGUCGUGAGAUGUUGGGUUAAGUCCCGCAACGAGCGCAACCCUCGUUCCAUGUUGCCAGCACGUANUGGUGGGGACUCAUGGGAGACUGCCGGGGUCAACUCGGAGGAAGGUGAGGACGACGUCAAAUCAUCAUGCCCCUUAUGUCUUGGGCUUCACGCAUGCUACAAUGGCCGGUACAAUGGGUUGCGAUACUGUGAGGUGGAGCUAAUCCCAAAAAGCCGGUCUCAGUUCGGAUUGGGGUCUGCAACUCGACCCCAUGAAGUCGGAGUCGCUAGUAAU
rnacentral:rRNA from 1 species